AAUCACACAGCUUUCACAUGGCCUUUUCUAGCACCGUGGCAAGGUAAAAAGGCCGAGCAUCACAUCAGUCAAGGGUCCGAGAGCAUACGAGACAACGGCAGGAUGACAUGGGGACGAGCAGGAGGCUGGCAGAGACCAAGAGCUCUUCCUGUGCAUGAUGCUACCAUACAAGAACCAGAGAGAACUGGAUGAGAGCCUCAGACUGGAUCUGUACAUCCCAGAUAAUUCACUAUGUCCACAUGGUGAACAUUUCCGUCUGAACCAUUUGGAAAGCACCCACAGCAACAAGAGCAGAUGCAACAUGUACACGAGCUCCCCUUCCUGUCUAACGCUGAUCUGAAGAGGCCCGGGUCUGUCGGCAGCAACACGCGUUGGCUGUAUACGUGCCUGAGAGCAGAAUUUAGGGUAAGGCAAGAAGACAAAUAAAGGAAGCCAAUUACUAGAGACUGUUUCUUUUCU